UGUCCCCCCAGGUCCGGUGCUUGGACCGGGUGAGGGGGGAAGAGGAGGUUGGCGUUGGCGGAUCUGAGGUUGCAGACAGGAUCGUGUCAGUGCAGGAGGUCAGCGAGGUGAUCUAUGACUGCGUCUUCAGUAAUAUCGAGGCAAAGUGGCCUGGCUCGGUCCAUGACUCCCCGAGUCUUUCAGGCCUGUACAAUUUCCAAGCCACUAUCACAAGGUGAAUUCUCUGGUGUGUUGCUGGGAGACAAGGGUUAUGCCUGUCAGCCAUUUCUAUUUACUCCCUUUGCAGACCCCCAGACAGCAGCACAGCACACAUACUGGGCACAAAUCAGUGGC